rnacentral:lncRNA from 1 species
AGCGUCUGGGGUUUCCGUUGCAGUCCUCGGAACCAGGACCUCGGCGUGGCCUAGCGAGUUAUGGCGACGAAGGCCGUGUGCGUGCUGAAGGGCGACGGCCCAGUGCAGGGCAUCAUCAAUUUCGAGCAGAAGGAAAGUAAUGGACCAGUGAAGGUGUGGGGAAGCAUUAAAGGACUGACUGAAGGCCUGCAUGGAUUCCAUGUUCAUGAGUUUGGAGAUAAUACAGCAGGUGGGUGUUGUGCUGUCCUCACUUUAAUCCUCUAUCCAGAAAACACGGUGGGCCAAAGGAUGAAGAGAGGCAUGUUGGAGACUUGGGCAAUGUGACUGCUGACAAAGAUGGUGUGGCCGAUGUGUCUAUUGAAGAUUCUGUGAUCUCACUCUCAGGAGACCAUUGCAUCAUUGGCCGCACACUGGUGGUCCAUGAAAAAGCAGAUGACUUGGGCAAAGGUGGAAAUGAAGAAAGUACAAAGACAGGAAACGCUGGAAGUCGUUUGGCUUGUGGUGUAAUUGGGAUCGCCCAAUAAACAUUCCCUUGGAUGUAGUCUGAGGCCCCUUAACUCAUCUGUUAUCCUGCUAGCUGUAGAAAUGUAUCCUGAUAAACAUUAAACACUGUAAUCUUAAAAGUGUAAUUGUGUGACUUUUUCAGAGUUGCUUUAAAGUACCUGUAGUGAGAAACUGAUUUAUGAUCACUUGGAAGAUUUGUAUAGUUUUAUAAAACUCAGUUAAAAUGUCUGUUUCAAUGACCUGUAUUUUGCCAGACUUAAAUCACAGAUGGGUAUUAAACUUGUCAGAAUUUCUUUGUCAUUCAAGCCUGUGAAUAAAAACCCUGUAUGGCACUUAUUAUGAGGCUAUUAAAAGAAUCCAAAUUCAAAC